GCCAGGCGUGGUGGCACACGCCUGUAAUCCCAGCAGCUCAGGGGGCUCAGGCAGGAGGAUCAGGAGUUCAAAGCCAGCCUCAGCAAAAGUGACUAAGCAACUAAGCAACCCAGUGAGACCCUGUCUUU
rnacentral:sRNA from 1 species